rnacentral:rRNA from 1 species
UACGUAGGGUGCGAGCGUUGUCCGGAAUUAUUGGGCGUAAAGAGCUCGUAGGCGGUGUGUCACGUCGGCCGUGAAAACCUGCAGCUUAACUGUGGGCGUGCGGUCGAUACGGGCAUCACUGGAGUUCGGCAGGGGAGGCUGGAAUUCCUGGUGUAGCGGUGAAAUGCGCAGAUAUCAGGAGGAACACCGGUGGCGAAGGCGGGUCUCUGGGCCGAUACUGACGCUGAGGAGCGAAAGCGUGGGGAGCGAACAGG